rnacentral:rRNA from 1 species
CCCUUUUGGGGUGAAGCGGUGAAUUCAAGCCCCGGUAAACGGCGGUGGUAACUAUAACCAUCCUAAGGUAGCGAAAUUCCUUGUCGGGUAAGUUCCGACCUGCACGAAUGGCGUAACGACUUCCCCACUGUCUCGACCAGGAGCUCGGCGAAAUUGCAGUACGAGUAAAGAUGCUCGUUAAGCGCAGAAGGACGAAAAGACCCCGGGACCUUUACUAUACCUUGGUAUUGGCGUUAGGCGCGGAUUGUGUAGCAUAGGCGGGAGGCUUCGAAGCAUGGGCGCCAGCCCGUGUGGAGCCGCAAGGUGAAAUACCGCUCUGUUCUCGUUUGACGUCUAACCUCGAACAGUCAUCCUGUUCAGGGACAGUGCCUGGCGGGUAGUUUAACUGGGGCGGUUGCCUCCCAAAGAGUAACGGAGGCGCUCAAAGGUCCGCUCAGCCCGGUUGGCAAUCGGGUUUCGAGUGUAAUCGCACAAGCGGGCUUGACUGCGAGAACGACGGUUCGGGCAGGGACGAAAGUCGGAGAUAGUGAUCCGGUGCCGGCGCACGGGCGCGGCAUCGCUCAACGGAUAAAAGGUACCCCGGGGAUAACAGGCUGAUCAUUCCCAAGAGUCCAUAUCGACGGGAUGGUUUGGCACCUCGAUGUCGGCUCGUCGCAUCCUGGGGCUGGAGCAGGUCCCAAGGGUUCGGCUGUUCGCCGAUUAAAGCGGCACGCGAGCUGGGUUCAGAACGUCGUGAGACAGUUUGGUCUCUAUCCUCUGCGCUCGUUGGAAUCCUGAGGAGGCCUGCCCAUAGUACGAGAGGACCUGGGUGGACGGACCUCUGGUAUGCCGGUUGUCGCGCCAGCGGCAUGGCCGGUUGGCUACGUUCGGGAGGGAUAACCGCUGAAAGCAUCUAAGCGGGAAGCCUGCUCCAAGAUUAGGAUUCCUUGACGCUCCCCGGAGCGUCCGAAGCCCGCAUGUUGAACACGUGUUCGAUAGGCCGGAGGUGGAAGCCCCGCGAGGGGUGGAGCCGACCGGUACUAACGGGCGAACGCGGCACACUU